GAGAGUUUUUAUGAAUCAUCCCAGCAGUUUGCCACGUUUAGGAGCUGGAGGAUUCACUUGCCAUUCCACAGAGUUCUUUUUUUUUUUUAGACAGGGUCUUGCCCUGUAGCCUAGGGUAGAUUGAAGAGGGGCGAUUUUAGCUCCCUGCGACCUCCGCCUCCUGGGCUCAAGUGAUCCUCCCACCUCAGCCUCCCAAGUAGAGUAGCUGAGUAGUUGGGACUACAAACACACGCAGCCACACCCGGCUAAUUUUUGUAUUUUUUGUAUGGAUGGGGUUUCACAAUGUUGUGAAGGCUGGUCUCAAACUCCUGGACUCAAGCAAUCUACUUGCCUCAAAAGUGCUGGGAUUACAGUUCUGGAGGCAACACGUCUGAAAUCAAGGUGUCAGCAGGGCUCCCUCCCAAGGCUGUAGGGGAUUCCUUCAGCAUUAGGCAGAACGAAGAUCUCUGGGGCCAGCAUGGAACCCCAAAGCCAGACUAGAGUAUUCACAUCCUGAACUUACAGCAUGGGAUCCAAGACACCUCUUUGCCCAGAGGACAGGAAUGUAAUCCUGUGUUUUCAUCAAUGACCAGUAAAUAGCCCAAAGACUCAGCAACAUGGGCAGAGCUGGAGCCUGAAGCCCACAGCCCAGUGCCCAAAGCCUGAAUGAGGAAACUGCAAGGAGAAGACAAGAUUUAGGGGCUCAGUUAAGCUUGUAGCACUACAGACCUGCAGAUCACCAAGGGUCCCUGAGGAUUCAGCAUUUCCCAUGCCUCAUGUUGGCUCCAAGAGGCCAUUCGGAGAGGCUUUUUUCAUCAUUCCAUCUCUGUGAAGAGGAAAGUCUUGUUGGAGAGGAAGGCUGCAGUUCUUAACAUCACAUGGAGAGCCCUUAUCUGGUGUUUGGCUUAAUUCCUGGUGCCUGGAUUUCUGGAGAGAGGUGUGAUCAGUGUGGCCAAGAACAUCCUUUUCCACCCCUGUUGGAGAGAUUGCUGUGUGGAUCUGGUCCCUACAAUUGAGAAGCAGCUUUUCACCUUGAUGCUGAAAUGACCACGCUUAACCACUACCUGCCCUGUGUCCUUUUCACCAGCUGAGAUUCCCAGCAAGCAGCAGGCUCCCAUCCUGGACUCCAAGGAGACAACUCUUCCCUGCGCCUUCACCUGCAAAGCUGUUGCCCUCUCUCCCAGAUCACAGUCACAAGACUCCAAAUUACCGAGUGGGGUCCAAGGAGGUGGGACUGUAAGGAACAUGUCCUGUGGACGUUACCUUCACUGUUCUCAUGAGUGGGAUGGGAAGAAAAGUGUCCUCCAGUUCCAAUUGGUGGAUUUUCUGGGCUUGGAUGGGGAAAAACAAAAACAAAACCAACCAAACAGAACAUAACUAUUACCUGAAUUAUUAUGAAACUUCAGAGAAAACUACUUAUUUGAAGAAAAUAAAAUAUGAUUUAUGUUGUUGAAUUUGCAUUGCCAGAAAGUUUCCAGUGUCCUUACUUCAAUUUUUUUUUCACCAUCAAGUUUGGUCAGAAUCUCACAGCUCAGAGAAAAGCAUGGAGGAAUAAUAAGAUAUAGAGCAGUGCUUCUCGUAUCAUAUGUGUGAAGAAUCUUUUAUUAAUUUGUUUAAUUUCCAGACUGACAGUUUUGUAAAAUGCCUUAUUAGAAAAAAAUUUAAA